CUUUGGGCUCACCCAUGCCCAGGGUUAAGCUGUGCUACAGCCCCUGCAGCAGUAUCUCUGAAGUCAUUUUCUUCCCCAGGACCACAGGGGCCCUGUGUGGGACAUUCCCUUCUGAAACACACCAAUGAGUUCAGCUGCCUCCUCUUCAUCCCUGACAUGAUAGGGUGCCUGGAAACCGCUCUGGCGUGAGAAGAAGGCUGGAAACUCCCUUGACUCUCCAAAGGCAGCUACGCAGACUCCCUGAGUUUCCUGCAGCAGUGGAGGCAAGACAAGCAGGCUCAACAGACCAUGCUACCUACCAGAUAUUCCAGCGUCCUGCCAAUAUCAAGGAUAGACUUGACUCCUGCAGAUACAACAGCAAC